GGGAAAGUUGAAAAGAACUUUGAAGAGAGAGUUCAAUAGGGCGUGAAACCGCUUAGAAGAAAACGGACGGAGCCGUCAGGGGCCUUUGGGAAUCAGUCUUAUGAUACGCGAAACUAUUGUAGUCCAGAACGCAAGUCUGGCUGCGGUAUUAUUAGCAUUCAUUAGGCGCAUUUCUCGAAGGUAUGCACUGCGACCGAUACUUCGGCCGAUGAGACGUUUGGAUUGAGGGCGAGUUUCUUCGGAUUCUCGUAACCAGUCCUUACGUUUAAGUCAUUGGACCGCANUAUGUAUCGGGAGCCAUAGUAUGAAUAUAUGCCGGCGUAAACGCUCGCUCGUACAAUGGAUAGUUUGGUCAAUGGUUUGGUAUCUGCUCGCAGGUGCUAGGCUAUUCGAUUCGGCUUUGAAGUUGUCGGCGACUUCCGGCGUAUAGGCGUCUGCAGUGUCAGUGUCGGUCACCCGUCCGACCCGUCUUGAAACACGGACCAAGGAGUCUAACAUAUGCGCAAGCUAAUGGGUGUAAAACCCAAAGGCGCAAUAAAAGUAAACGCUGUUUCGGACAGCUUAGGUACGAUCCUAUGUUCCGAGUGUUCAUGGGCGCAGUACCGUCCCGUCCCGACCGCAUAUCGGUAGGGCGGAGAUAGAGUGCAUACGUUGGGACCCGAAAGAUGGUGAACUAUGCCUGAGCAGAGCGAAGCCAGAGGAAACUCUGGUGGAGGUUCGUAGCGGUUCUGACGUGCAAAUCGAUCGUCAGACUUGGGUAUAGGGGCGAAAGACUAAUCGAACCAUCUAGU
rnacentral:rRNA from 1 species